rnacentral:rRNA from 1 species
CCUACGGGGGGCAGCAGUAGGGAAUAUUGCUCAAUGGGGGAAACCCUGAAGCAGCAACGCCGCGUGGAGGAUGAAGGUUCUCGGAUUGUAAACUCCUUUUGUUAGAGAAGAUAAUGACGGUAUCUAACGAAUAAGCACCGGCUAACUCCGUGCCAGCAGCCGCGGUAAUACGGAGGGUGCAAGCGUUACUCGGAAUCACUGGGCGUAAAGAGCGCGUAGGCGGGAUAGCAAGUCAGAUGUGAAAUCCUAGGGCUUAACCAUAGAACUGCAUUUGAAACUGUUAUUCUAGAGUAUGGGAGAGGUAGGUGGAAUUCGUGGUGUAGGGGUAAAAUCCGUAGAGAUCAAGAAGAAUACUCAUUGCGAAGGCGACCUGCUAGAACAUAACUGACGCUGAUGCGCGAAAGCGUGGGGAGCAAACAGGAUUAGAUACCCCAGUAGUC